UGGAAAGGAAGUCCCAAAGAGUGAAAAUUCAGUAACAGUUACAACCUGAUGGGCCAGCUGGCAUCACUUCCCUCUGAAUCUAUUUCCUUUUUUCUUUCCACCACUGGCAGGGCACUUGCCUGGCCACCAAAGAGGGAUAAAUCCAGAGAAUUCAUCCAUAAACCAGGCUCUACUUCAGAGAACUAACAGGAAAGACUGGGAAAAUGAGGAAGAUGUGUAAUCUCUGAGAGGGGGAGACAGACUUAGACUGAGGAAGGGCAAAACACAGAUUGAGAGUCGAAGGGUCACCAGAAGAAGGGAGAAAGGUGGAGAGGACUACUCAGAGACCUAAUAACAGUAUUUCCGGGGCAAAAGGCAGGACUACCCACACGGGGGAGGGCCGCAGCACACAACACGUCGUCACACAGACAAGAGACGCAGCCACACUCAGACACAGACUCGAAGGUUACGCUGGGAGGACCGCCGGUCCCACUAUCCCAUCAGCACCAGUGGGGUCUCAUCUCUCGUCUCUGCAGUCCUGUCUACCCUCAAUCCUUCACGCUGCAACUUACACCUCGGCAGAAGGACGCUAAGUUUUGUGAGGGAAGAGGGUGUGGAACAAUGCUGAUGGGGCGUGUGUGCAGUUAUGUGUGCAUGCGCGCGUCUGGGGCUGUGUGUGUGUCUGUGUGUGUCCCGAGGAUGGGGCUGUCAACUCCAUCUGCCGCUGAGUCACUUGUUUAUUCCAACUCCACGCUGAGGCCGAAACUGCCGCCGUGUCGCCGCCAAAGCCUGCCUGCCUUUUCCAGCCUCCUCUGGCCCCGAGUCAGGAGCUGGGGAGGGAGGGAGGAGGGAGGGAAGGAGGAAGGAAGGAGGAAGGAAAGGAAGGAGGAGUCAGCAGCCCCUGUCCUACUCCUGGCUGUGACAGACUGUGAGUGUGUGUGUCUGCAGACAUGUAUGUAACUGCGUGUGUGUGUGUGUGUGUGUGUGUGUGUGUGUGUGUGUGUGUGUGUGUGCAUGCCCCCAAAGCUAGGGAUGAGGGAGGGUUAGGCGGCUGCACUCCCCUAGAAAGGGAAGAACCUGCCUCUGGCUUUGUUCCCCAUUUCCCCUGGCUCCCUCCCACUGCUGUGCCCAUGAGGACAUGCUUUUUGCUGGAGACGGGUGGAAGGUGACUGGGGCAGAGUCGAUGAUCCACUUUAAUCAUCUACUCUGGGUGCCCCAGGACACAACCUCAAGGAUGCCUGAGGUUGCUUGGUAACAGGGUUUCCACAGAUGCCCCACAGGGAAAUACAUAGAGACAGACACAUUUCCUAAUGGCAAAGAACCAUUUGCACAAAGGCAAACAUAUAGAGACAAACAUAGCCCACCUUCCCACAUAAACACACGUGCACACAACCAUGCACACAGAUGCACACGUGGCUGAGCCUCACCAAAGAGCAUGGGCUAUGUCUUGGGUAGCUCUGUUUUGCUCACAUUAUGCAUAUGGUAGGCACUCAUUUUAUUCAAUGUUUGCUGAAUGGAGAAAGGUCCAUAUACAUGCAUAGCACACGUACACACACACACACACACACACAAGCCCCAGGUGCACAUGCAGAAACACACACCAUGCUUGAGAUUCAGGUGUCCGUAUACACUAAGUCAGAAUGGCAGUCUGAAGUCACAGCCCCGUCAGGGCUCACACAGACACACAGAGCCAGUACUUACCAGAUCUAAAUGGUCCUCAGUCUGGGAGUAGAAAUAAAACCAACAGGGGGAAUUCAGUCUCCACUCACUGCCCCUUUCCUACCCCUCCUCCUCAGGUCACAUUUCUCCUCCCACCACAGGGCAGGUUCUUCUUCUCCCUCCCCAACCCUUCCUGGAGAGAGAUCUCUGAUUUUUGUGACUAACUUCAGACGAUGCAUCCCCUCCGUCCUUCCUUAUUUUAUCCCUGUCUGUCUGUCUGUCUGUCUGUCAGGGAGGCCAAUCAGAGGCUAGGCUCUGCCCCUCCAAGAACACUGAUUUCUGACAUUCUGGCCUUUGGCAGCCUCCAGCUCAUCUCUCUGUCGACAUCAUCCCUACCUGCUCUAUUAGUUCCUGAGGCAGGUCCUCUUUGGUGGGGAGAAAGAACCCCUACUUCCACCUCUCCCUGGCUGGGAGGGAACCAGAGGAAGUCCUCACUUUUCUAACUUCUCCCUCAGAAAACAUUGUUACGGUCUGCCCUUCAUCCCCCUGCCAAAGGGUCUGCACCAUCCCUCUUGUCCCUUUGCCAUCCCCAACUAAGCUCCCAAGGCCAACUCACCAAGUGAUGCAUUAACCCUUUCCCACCCUGGGAGGUGAUGACUCGAAGGUCUGGCUUUCUGCUGGGGGCCCCAAGCUGGGCACUGUGGGUGGGUGGGGGCGGAGACUUGGCUGGGAUGACUUUGCUCAGGCUGUUGCCAUUAGCGACGGGGAGGAGGCCAGGGGAGGCCCGGGCACUGACAUAGCCAUUCCCUGGAAAAACGGAAGGUUCAAAGGUAGGUGGAUACUUCCCUCUGCCACUGGCCCUAUGUCACACAUUGGCCAACUUGCUCCAUGCCCCCCAUACUCCCACAAAAAUCUGGAUCCAUUCUUAAAGUUCUGAUCCCUUUCCUGGAACUUUCUUAACCUGAGGAAGAAAGGCAGAGGGAAGAGAGGAAGGGCAAUUGCAUAUCCAUUUCUGUAACACUGUGCUUCCCAUGAGACAACUCUGUGAGCUGGCACAAAGAAUCUUGGGCUUGGAAUAAGACCUGGGUUCUGAUUUCCUGGUUCUGCUAUUUAGUGACCUUGAGCAAGUAACCUAACCUCCCUGGAACUCGGUUUCUUCAUCUACAGAAUGGGGAUAAUAAUAUAUAUACCAGAUAUGUUUUGAGGAUUAAAAGAGAAAAUGUAUGUAAAAGGUUUUGUAAAUUUUUUAAAGCUAUAUAAACAUUAGCUCUUGUUAAAGUAUUCAGGCCUCUGCUACAAGGGGUAGGGAGGAAUGACAUUUCCUGGGGCAAGGCAGAGGGAAGGGGAAGAGGACAUUGCUUCUCUCCUGCUACUGUUCUCACCCCUCGGUCUACCCCUGGCACCCAUAUAUAACAAGACUAGUCAAGGAGGUCUUCCUGGGUUCUAACCUCCUUCCCUUUUCUCCUGCAGAAGUGUAAGAAUAGAUCCUGGGGAAUUGGGGGGGGGGGCACUAGCAGGGAAGAGAGUGGGUACUUGUAGGCCAGGAGAGUACAGGGCCAGGGCUGAGGCUGUUCCCUGGCAUCACUAAGGCCACAGAACAGCAUUACUUGAAGGGACCUUGGCAUCCCAUGCUCUCAUUUCCCAGAGGAGGAAACUAAGGCACAGAGCCAGGAAAUUCCUUGGUCAGGGGUUGCAUAAUUAAUCAAUGAUGAUGCUCUGUCUGCUGAUAAUCACCAACCAUCACUGACUCUUCCCUUCCCUUCCCUACAAGCAGGGGAAACCAGUCAUCGGUGUCCUCAGGGAGAAGAGGACAGAAGCACCACCAGCAUAUGGGUAAGACACUGCUGAGGCCUCCCUUAGGCUGGCAACCCUGUGCUCAGGCUGGAAGCCAAAUGGUCCCCAGGGAUUUUUUCUGCUCAUUCCUCAACCCCCAGGUGCUGUAAGGUGUCCCAGGCUAAACCUCGGGUGGGGGGGGGGUCUCAGGGCUAAGGGAUCAGGCCCGCCCUGGGGAACACUAUCUCCCUGCUGAGCCCCAGAUCUCUCCAGCUGCCUCUAUCCCAAUUCUCGGAGAGGCUCUGGGAAUGACAAGAAUGUGGAGGUGACGUCAAUCGUGACAUUCGUGGCCACAGUCACAGAGCCAGACGAGGGGAUGGCCACAGCCAGGACUGACAGCUGAUGAAGAUGGGGUGGGGGAGGGUAAGACCUCCCUCUCUGUCUUCCAAACAUGUAACCCUGUAUUCAAUCGAGCUUGUCCCUGGGCCACACCUGUGAGUGUGCGGCCUUCCCUUUCUGGGUCUGAGAGAGAAUUCCUGAUUCUUUCUGUUUCUGUGUCAAGAAGCACCUGCUUGCUUGUGUCUGUCAGCGCAACUUGUCUGUGUGAGAGAAUGUUCCAUUCCCCUCCAAAAUGGAGCUUCAGAGUACAGGGGGAAAGUAGGAAAGGAGAGAGGGAGAGAAAGAGAUAGUGUGUGUAUGUGAUACAAUCUUCUUUCUUACCACUUUUCCCACCUGUUUCCUCCAAAUUCCCUGAGUACAGACACGGGUCAUAAUAACUUUAUUUUUAUGAUAGCUGACAUUUAAUGUGGUCCUUUAGAGCUACAAAGCCCUUUUAAUAACACGAGCUCCUUUGUCUUCUAGAACUCCACGAGGCAGGUACCAUUGGUAUGAUCAUCAUCUCCAUUUUAUAGAAAUGGAAAUGGAGGUUAGGAAAAGUUAAGUGAAUUGCCCAGGUCACAAAGAAUAAAGUAUCAGAGGUAGGAUCUGACUCCAAGUCUCUCCUGACCCCAGGAAAUGAAGGGGCUAGAUCAGAACCAGAAGAUGCCAAGAGACCACACCAGACAGAGGCUAUAAGGAUGUUCUUAGACUUCCAGUGGCCCCACAGGCCCCUCCCCUCAUGAAGUUCCUCAGACCCGCCACGAUCCCAGACACCCAAGCUCUGCCCUCAGCUUCCUCUCCUCUUCUUGCUAUAGGCACUUGUCUCUUCUCUUCUAAAAGAAAACCUUCCUGAACCCCACAGACCUAAUUCUGAACAGAAAGACUCACCAACAGGGCUAGGACAGGCUCCAUUUGCACUAUUAAGGUCUCCUCCCAGCAUGGCCCCUAGGGAAGGAACAGAAAUAUAAGGGCACUGGAGAGCGCUGAGCCUUGGGGGUAGAGAGUGCUGGCACAGUUUCCUGUGAGGAGGAACCCAGAGGCGGCAGGAGGAGACAGGACAGACUCAGAAAGCUUCAACCCCUCCCCAACUAAAGGAACUUCUCCAUCUUCCCAACCCCAUCCAGGGGGUGAACAGCAACAGGGGAGUGAAGGCAGUUGAUUCUGUUGGACAGAACUCUGAACUGCAAUGCUGGGAGGAUGAGGGGGCCUAGGAAGGGGAGGUGGGCCAGAACUAGAGAGGGGGAGAAGGAAGGAAUGACAAGAGCAGAUGGGCCUUGGAAGAUCCUUAAAGGCACAGGUGGGGUGAUGAAACCAGGCUUGUCUAGCUACAACAAUGAGUCCCAAGUUGGGAAGGAGUCACAGGAGACAUUGAAAGGGCAAAAAGAAGAGGCUCUUCAGCUGAGGGGCAAUCUAGGAAGCUAAAAAUAAAUCUCAAAGCACCUGAACUAUCCCCUCUUCCUAUACUCACCAGCACUGGCUGGUCGCUGGGGCAGCCCUGGUGAUACACUGUUCCUCUGCAGGGCCGGCUGCUGGGGGGACAGGAGUCUCGGGUCUGUGAGGGAUGACGUAACCAGUGAUGGGGUCACCAGAGAACCUCCAGGGUUGCUGAACUGAAGUGAGUUCUGAUUGGACACAGGCACCGUGACCGGCAUGGCAAAAUUUGGAGCUGGAACCGCAGACUGGACAGAAAGAGGUGUCAGCUCUUCUAGAUCCUCAUACACACUCCAAAGAAUUUCUGCUCAAGACAAACCUACAAAUAUUAAGCACCUACUGUUUUUCCAGCACACUUGCUAAGGACAAAGGAAUACAAAGGAAGGCAGAAGAUAGUUUUUGAUGUCAAGAAACAUUCUAACAGGAAAGUGUCUCAAGACUGAGGGAGUCAGGAGAUGAUGGGGUGGCAGCUGAGCUGUGAUUAGGGCCAGUGUCUUGGCUUUCAGCCCCAUCUGCCUCUCAGCAGCUGAUACCAUCUCCUCCACAAGCUCCAGCUGAAAUCUGCCAGGGCCCCUCCUUCCUCAUACCAGUGUCCCAGCUCCCAUAUUGGGGAUCCUUCCACUACUGCCCAGAGAACUCUUGUCCUUCUGAAGUAGCACAUCCCUAAUUAGUCUAUUUUUCUUUAGUCUCUUUAAGCUUCCAGCUCUUCUCCCUUCACUCUGCUAUAAUCAACAACUAGAACAAUCAGAAAGAGUUUCCCAAACAUACCCCAGCCAGCACAACUGUUUUCUCUUCUCCCAACCCUCCCCUCCAUUAUGAUGGUGGAAAAGUGGAAAAAAGGAAAAGAGUGCUAGAAUUGGAGUCACACGGCCUGUGCUAGAAUCUUACAGCUGUAACUUACUAUCUGACUGACCUUGAGCAAGUCACUUCCUCUUUAGGGACCCAAGUUUUCUCAUCUAUAAAGUAAAGUGGUUCCUUUAGAUGAUCUCUAAAGGUGCUCUUGACUCUAAACUUUAUGACCCCCUUAUAGUAUUCCUGUCAACACUGCCUGAAUCAAAGUCCCCCAGAUCUUUUGGAAGGAUAGAGAAGGAUCCAUGCUGAAAAUCUAACCAUUUAACCCCAAUCCAAGCUGACAGUGAUCAUCUCUCCAACAAGAAUAGCCACCAUGCCACAUGAGGAUCUGUUGAAGAGGGUAUUUAGUCUAGAGAAGAAAAGACAGCUGUCAUCAUGUAGUAUAAGGGCUGCCUUUUAAAAGAAGGACUGAAUGGAUUCUACUUGGCUCCAGCAGGGCAGAACUAAAAUAAAUGGGCAAAAAUUCCCAAGAGGUAGAUUUCAGUUCACUAUAAGAAAAAAUCUAACAAUUAAAGCUAUUCAAAAGUGGGAUGAACUGACUCCCUUCAAAAGUUGUGAGUUCCCCAUCACUGGAGGUAUUCAAGCAAAGACCUAAUGAAUGCUUAUUAAGCAUAUUGUCUAGAGGAUUGUUGGAAAGUUAUGGGUUGAACUCAAACACCUUUGAGUUCUCUUUCAACUGUAUCUUUGAGUUAACAUGUUGUUCCGUCAUUUGUGUCCUACUCUUCAAAACUCCGUUUGGAGUUUUCUGGACAAAGAUAUUGAAGUGGUUUUCCAUUUCCUUUUGAUCUCAUUUGACAGAUGAGGAAACCAAGGCAAAUGGGGUUAAGUGACUUGCGCAGGGAGUGUCUAAGGCCAAAUCUAAACUCCAGAAGUAAGUCUUCCCAAUUUCAGGCCUAGCUCUCUAUCCACUGUACCACUUAGCUGUCCAAGAGUUAACCACAGGGAGCAGCUGGGUGGCUCAGUGGAUUGAGAGUCAGGCCUAGAGACAGGAGGACCUGGGUUCAAAUCUGGCCUCAGACACUUCCCAGCUGUGUGACCCUGGGCAAGUCACUUAACCCCCAUUGCCUAGCCCUUACCACUCUUCUGCCUUGGAGCCAAUACACAGUAUUGACUCCAAGAUGGAAUGUAAAGGUUAAAAAAAAAAAGAGUUAACCACAACAAAAUUGGACAUUAGGACACUGAGGAUAAUAAUGUUAGAAAUAAUUAAUACCUGUAUAGCAUUUUUAAAUUGGCAAAGUGCUUUCCUCCCAGUAAGUUCAUGAAGUACACAGUGCAAAUCAUAGGAUCAUUGAUUUAGAGAUGAAAGGGCUUCAUUUUUACAAAUUAAGAAACUGAGGUUCUGCCGAGGUAUGUCUUGCUCAACGUCUUUAAGGUAGCAAAUGUCUGAGGGGAAAACUCAAAUCUAGGUCUCUAUCAGAAAUGCCAUAGUUUUUAAUGUGAUAAUCAGGUAUAUAGGGUCCAGAGGGUCAGGAACUUUGUACAAAGGGGUUCAUUAGAUGGAAGAAGGGAUAUAUCCAAGAGGAACUGCUUUAAGACAGUCUCCCUUACUGAGGCACCCAGAACCAUAAAAUGAGAUGAGUAAAUGAAGUAAUUAUCAUACACACACCAGCCCACUCUAAGUUUUAAUGACAUACAUUUCUAAAGUGCUUUAAGGUUUACAAAAGCUCCUUCCACACAAUAAUCUUGUAAGGUAGAUAAAACAAAAUCUUACUGCUUUCAUUUUUCCAUAUGGGGAAACUGAGGCUCAGUGAAAUCAAAUGACUUGUAUUCAAAUUCAAGUAUUCAGAAUCCAAAGUUUCCACUAUUCUACUCUCUUCUUUCCACUAUUGUACUGCCUUAGAAACUGUUCCUAGCAGUAUAGCCUCCAUCCAUAAGGUCUCUCCCCCCAAAGGGACACCCAUACCCCCCCUCACCAAUCUCUUAUCUUGACCUUCUGUCCUCCCUGAAGUGAAUCCUUCCUAAAGUCAUUCCUCCCACUGCAGCAUAGGUGCUCCCCCAGUCCCAAAGAAUUUCCCUUUGGUGGGCCAGUGAAUCCCCCCUCAGCCUUCUCUUCUCUGGCCCCAGGGCCCUGCUCUGCUCCCUGCUCCUAGGGUGGAUAGGGAUCUAAAGCCAUCUAAGGAGCAGCCCCUGGCACAUGAAGAUAGAAAGGAUGGGGUUGCCUUGGUAACAGUUGCCUGGCAACCAGCUCCCUGGCUGGUCUCCUACAACACCACCCCCCCAACCCCCACCCCCGCCUCCUGUCAGGGGGAGCUGGGAUGGGUGAGGGAUCAGUAUUGGGAAAAGAAAGGAGGGAAUGGGGGAGGUGUGGGGGCCAGACAGGGAAAUAGAUACCUGAAUAUACCCAUGAAGAAAGGGUUAAAAUGGCUGGUUCCCACCUCCACCCCUUAGAUCUCAAAGUACUUUAUAGAGCCAGCUGUUCUUCGUUCUGAACAAGGGGCAGUCCUCUCUGCUGUCUGACCUCUCUGGCUCUCCUGCUUUCAGGGCCCAUUUCAAACUGGUGCAGAACAAAAUCUGAAGUGCACCCUCCUCCCAGACCUCCCCCUACUCCACCCAGGCCCAGUUUCACGGUUUCCUGCUCUCUUGCUGGGAAGCUCACUCUUCACUCUACUUGUUUCAGGCUCUUCAGUGCCAGUUAGCCACAGAGUCAGGGCAUUCUGUUGAAUGGGGUGGGGAGAGUGCUGAAGAAGGGAUGAGUGGACCCUGAAAAUGGGAGAUAAGAAGGGGCCCAGACAUAGCCCUUUCAAAAGUGAGGCCAGUCCUUCAAAGCCCCCUCCCAUCCAAUUAGAAAGACUUUAAUGAACACCUGUGCUUGCUUAAUUAGCCCUCUGUUUAAUUACCUAAUCAACUGCCAGAAGCCAGAGGCUGAGACAACAUGAGCUCCAGAUGUGAACCACUCUCUCCUCUAGCCUUCCCAUCCUCCUCCUCCAGGAAGCCUUCCCAGACAGAUAACCACCCCCCACUUCCAAUCUCUAGCCCAGGGCUCUGCUCUGACACAAGCUCUUUCUGUGGUGGGAAGGAAGAUCAGUCCCUGCAUGGAGAUGGAGGGUCAGACUGGAGGCCCAUGCCAAGUGUCACCUCCCCCUUCCUGCCAGGAUCUCUUCCUUCCUCUCACCCUUCUCUGUGCUGUGACCCUAGUUCCUCAGCCACAGCUGUGACUCUCGAUGCCACCUAAGAGUCACGCCUCAGAAGCUGCAACUGCUGAUUCAUUCACUCCUGGGGAGGGAGGGCACUGGUGGGGGGAGGCAAGAAAAAGAAGGCUUGGAAGGAAUUUUACAUGGGACUGGUCGAGAGCAUAGGCUAAACCUGCAUACAAGGCAGAAAGGCCAGUGUUCAUGAGCAAAAGGACGUUGGGCUAUCAGAAGACUGCCAGGGGAGACUGGUCAAUAGAGAAGUAGUAAAGAGAGGAGAGGAAGUAAAGAGAGGAGAGGAAGUCAUCCAGAGAUGAUGGUCAGAGGAGGCCCAGAAGGCCACCAGCAGCAAGUUUAUCAUCUAUAACCUGGGGAGGGAGAGACUCAAAACAAUGGAAGUCAUGGAAUGUUAAAGCUGGAAGGACUCUCCAAAUGGGGAUCUGGGACAGGUCUUUAAAAAGAAAAAAGAAAAAGAAAUCAUCUGUUUAGAUAUCUAGAUAGCACAAUGGAUAGAGCUCCAGACCUGGCAAUGGGUGGACCUGGGUUCAAAUGUGACCUCAGACACUUCCUAGCUGUGUGACCCUGAACAAGUCAUUUCAUUUAACCCUGUUCGUCUAGCCCUAGCCUUUUGUCUCUUAGAGUUAUUACUAAGACAGAAAGUAAGGGUUUAAAAAGAAAUCUUGUCAGCCUCACUUCCCUCACACUUUAUACAGAUGGUUAAAGUAAAGGCCAUGGAAGUAUGGUUUACAGUCAGUCAGUGACUGAGCUGAGACUAAAAUCUAGAAGACCUGAAGAAACUCAGGCACAGGUAUGAGGGGCUGAGACAGCAAGGAAAGAGCCUUGGUUCUGCCUCAACUCAAGCAGCACCAACAGGAUUGGCAUCUGGGGUGGUUGGUUUGGGGGGUUUUCUGAGGGAUGGGAAGAAUGCAAAUUAUGUUCAAAUGGACUUGGAGGGAGGGGCUCCAGGCAGAGGGUGAGAUAAAGAGAAACAGGCCUGUAUGUACCCCCCCCCCCCAGCUCAACACCUCCCCUAUCAAAGCAAAGCUCAAACCUCCACUUUCAGAAUGAUCACUGAUGGUAUCUUGGUUCCUGGGGGGGAGGGGAGCACGAGGGAGACACAGCCCUGAGAGCCAAAGUUUCCUCCAUAAUUGGAGGAGCUCUGGGAGGCUGAUGCGGGACAGAGUCAGUCCACCAGCAGGAUUUCCACCCCACCCCACCUAGGGAAACUAGGGAGUUCUUCCUCCUGGCUAACUCCCAUCUCCUCCUGCAACUGCAGAUGGCAAAAAUUAAUUGGCUAUCUCUGCACCCCAGCGUGUAUCCACAUCCCCUGUCUUGUGCAUAGUAGGUGUUAAUGAAUGUUUGCUGAAUUAAGUGAUGAGAUCUCAAAGCACCUCGAUGGUAUAGAGAGGUGGCCCUUCUCCAAGCCUCAGGAGCUCCCAGGGCCAAGUGAGAGCCAUCCAUCCAGGACUCCUGAGGGGAGGAGCAAUGCUCUCCCUCCCAAUUCUAGGGCAGAAGGGAGGAGGAGGAGGAGGAGGAGGAGGAGGAGUGGGACUGAGUCACAGGAUGCCUGAGUGACUCAAAGUCCCCCAGCAAUGGGACUUCAACCCAACCCUCCCAGACAAAGAGAAAGGGUGACUGCUCUCUUCAAACCCCAGUUCCAUCACCAGGGAAGGGAGAGUCUGUUACCCCCUCUCCUGCCUGCCUCUUCCCCUGGGCUGGGCUGCAGGGCAUGGAGAAGAGAAGGCGGGAGGGGAGAGAAUCACAGUCAGAUCCACCUGUCACCCCCACUGCCAGGCUGGGCCUCGUUAGCAGCUCACAAGAAGCAGGGAGGGGUUAUAAGGGAGCCCUCAUUUUUAAAGGAGCUGAGAAAAAGAAGGCGAGAUACCAGCGCAGAGUCAGAGGGAAGGACAAAGAUAGACCCACAUGCCAACAUGCAGCUGGUGUGCCAUCAGAGUGCAGUGGAAAGAGCCCGGAUCUGGAGUGCAAGGUCCUCUGUUCAGAGCCCAAUUCUCCAAUGGUUUGUUGCCUGGGCCACCUUGUGCAAGUCCCUUCACUUUUCAAUGUCCUCCUUUGUAAGAGGACAGGGCUGGACAGUCGGCAGUUCCAAUGUCUGAGCCACCUUCUUCCAGAGACCACAAGCCAUCUGGCCCUAGCCAAGGGCCGCCCUCCCCAGCCUGCUCUUCUUGGGGCCCAAGAAUCCUCCUAGCCUCAUGCCUAGUCCCCGAGUUCAGCAACUAACUGGAGGAUAGAAAACGUAAACGGAUCUGCUGGGUCCAAAGCAAAGGAACAGAUGUUUGUUGACUGACUAAAAGAAGUCUGGCAUUGGGCAAUGCUCAUGUUAAUUAGCACUGGGUCUCCUUUCCGGACCAGAUUCCUUUUCCCUCAGCAUCUCUACACACUCCCAGCACUAAAAUUCUGCCUGAAACUCCAAAGGGGUCUGUCUCUCUCUUCCCACUGAUGGUCCGGAGGGAGGCAGAAGGAAUUCCCACUGCAGGUCGGGCUUGCCACACCUGUCAUUACCCCCCCCCCCAACUACAGGUCCUCCCUCUCUCCUCUCCCCUCCCCUCCCCCCAGGCCUUACCAAGGUAGUGGGGAAGGGCAGAGCCCGGGAGAAGGCUGAGAGAGCCAGGAGAGGAGUGAGAAGGAGCCAUCCCAGGAAAAAGCUGCCAUCUAAUCCCAACCCAUCCCAGCCUCCCAGAAAUCAGGGUUUGUGGCCUUGGGGGGAAAAGAGGGGGAGGGAGGAAUGUCGGACACUUGGGAAGUGCCUCUCGGCGAGGGGAUGAGGGCAGGCGCUGAGUUGGGGCCCCCUGGGACACCUUGACCCUCCUGGCUCCGCCCAAGGACUCUUCUCUUCGGGUUAGUCAGGCCGGAUUUCCCCAGCCCCCACCCCAUCCCACUCUAAAAUCAGGAGCAAGAAGGUACUGACCACUUUCCCACCAACCUCCGAGGGCUCAAAGAGCCGGAGGAUCCCACCCCCACCCCCAAGCAGGGCCCCCAGGCCUUCCUGGCCGCUCUUAGGCAGCCCAGGGCUAUUUUUAUGCCCCAGGCUGGGCUAAUUUUAACUCACCAAGGAGGCCCCAGGAGGGAGGGUAGGGUGAGGAAAGCUAGCUCCAGGGGAGGCCUGGGCUGGAGUCGAGGGUCCCAGGCGUCAGGGGGACAAAGCCAGAGGGAGUACGGGGUUCUGGGGAGUCACCACUACUGUGGCUUAAGGGACAGGAACAGAUGCAAGAAGGAUGGGGCAGGGAGCUGGGGGAGGGGACAAGGGAGUAAGUAGUUGGACUGACAGACACUCAUGGUGGCUUCCCACCCACAUAUCAGCUGGCCCCACCCCCCUCUCCCACUGGGUUUGAAAUUCGAUUCCGAGGGGAAAAAUGGAAGGGUCAUUGCAACCAACCCCCAGACUCUGAGACCAGGGGUUCCGGGGUGAUCUUCCAACUGGGCGUGGAACACCCCCAACACCCAGGAUCGCUUCCCUUCGGGGGCUGGACGGCUUCACCCUUCCUCAUCUCUAACCCUAACCCUGGGUGCCAAAGGGGACAGGUUGUGACGACUUGAGACCCCCAGCACCCGGCGCUGUGGUGCACACGGUGGUGGAGACUCUAAACGCAGCUUUAUAUGGAAAACGAGAGAACUGCACUAGACAAUCUCUACUAUCCUUUCUCGUUCAGACAUUCUAUAGCUUUGACUCUUAUCUUUCUGAGAAGGGGAGGGGAAGGGGGGAAAGAUGAAGGCUUAGAGAAGAGAAAUCUGAUUGGGGAUUUCCAGGCUCUCUAGAGGCUGGGAUAGCUUAAGAAGCUCAGAUGGUUGAGGACAAGGUGGGGCCAACGCUGCCACGGGAAGGAUGGAGAUUAGAUUCCAGAAGGAACUUCCGAAGGGGCGCUUAACAAUAGAAAGAUAAAGAGAUGCAGGCCUCUCCUUACCCGGAGACCCGAAAGGGAAGACAUGUUAACUGUUGUGGAGCUGGGAAGUGGGAAGGUGGGCAUGGGAAAUGACCAAUAAAAAGAAGAGCCAGAGGUGCCAUGGGAAUCUGACCAGGCCUAGGUUACCGACCAAAAGCAAAAGGGCAUAAUAUCCUUCUGGUGAACAAGGUCCUCUGAGGAGGGCCAAAGGCUGGGAGCAGAAUGUAGAUCAGAGGAUUAUAGGAUCAGAGAUUUAGAGCUAGAAGGGACCUUGGAGGUCAAAUAGUCCAAUCCCAUCCUUCACAAAUAAGGGAACUGAGGCCCAGAGGUAAAGAGGAAUUUGCCAAGGUCUCAGAGGUACAAAGUGGCAAAAGCUGGGAUCCCUCUGAACCAAGGGUUGCCAAGCCUGCCCUACUGUCCUUAACUCAUAGCUUAACUGGAUGGGAUCUUAGACAUCCCCUAAUUCAAAUCCCUCAUUUUUCCCAGGAGAAAACUCUGUCCUUGGAUGAUUCAAUGGCUUCCCUAAGUUCAAAUAGCAAGUAACUGGCAGCAGGAUCCAAAUCUAUGAACCUUUGACCCCCUGUUCCAUUUGGCUUAAAGGAAGCCCUGCUGAUGAUUAAAAGCUACUUAUCUGCAUGGUAAUUUACACAGUCUUACUGGAUCCUGCCACAGUGGCCUCUGGUCUCUAGGGUCUCCCUGAGAAAUUAAUUUAAGCCCCCCCCCCAUUUGAAUUUCAUUUCAUUUCUAGUAUUAGAAGCAAUUCUAUUGUAUGAUCUUGGGAAAAUCACUUGCUCUCUCUUUGCCUCAGUUUGUUCAAAUUUAAAAUGAGAGCGCUGGAUUGGGUAAAAUGGUCCCUGUCACCUCUACUCAGACGCCAUAGGAUUUAAGACUAGAAAAACAGACUUGUCCUCAAACUUUUUGGUCUCAGAAUACCAUUAUGAUCUCAAAAAUUAUUGAGGAACUCCAAAGAGCUUCUGUUUUUACUGGUUCUAACUACUGAUAUUCACUAUAUUUGAAAUUAAAACAUAUUAGUACUAGAAUGAAAGCAGUUUGGACCCUCUGACUCAGGCACCCAGACUACACUCUGAGUAGUCCAGACCUAGGCUAACCACCUCAUUUUACCAGUGUGGAAAAUGAUACCCAGAGUAUGAUUUGUCCCAGGUCAUAGAGGCAGCAAGAAACAGAGUAAAGAUUCAAACUCAGAGCCUCUGACCUCAAAUCCAUUCUCAUGUAUCUUUUCCUGGAUUUUACAAAUGGGGUUCAAACCCUACCUCCACUGCCAAUCCUGAAGACAAAUCACUGUCUCCUCUGAGAAUUCCCUCUUUCCCACUGGUGUUGGCCAGCCCUUGAGAAACAAAGCUGGACCACCCUCCUCUCCUUCAUUCUCAGUUUUAGGAUUUGGUCAGUCCUGUCUUCUGUCUAACUUCCAUCCCUCCAACUGUAAAGCUAGCCUAUUUCCUCCCCUUCUGAGAAAAAAGGUGGGGGCCGUUGGGACAGUUAGCCCCAUCACCCUGCUGCUCUCCCUCCUUGACUUCCCUCUAGGGUCCCAAGGCAGAAGUGAAAGUCCCAGCUGGGCCUGGAGGAGCCCAAGAGCCGUUGGUGUGGGAAGGGGUCAGGGUUUGGUUCAGCCCAGCCCUGGAAUAAAGGAAGGGGAAGGUAGAAGACUCCCUUUCUGCUCACAUCUAAUCAGUUUCCAAGUCCUGUCAACUCUUCCUCCACAGGUUUUCAAAUCCAUUCCCUCCAUUCCACUGUUACCAUCUCCAGAAUGGUAGUAUCCUUCAUUCAGAGCCAAAGUAACCCCCGGCAUAUGCCUGACCUUGUCACUCCCCUGCUCAAAAAUAUCCUGUAGCUCCCUAUUGCAUCCUCAAUAAACUGCUUGGCUUGACAAGGUCAAAGGAUUCCCAUUUGUUGUUGUUGUUCAAUUGCAUCUGGGUCUUCAUGACCCCAUUUGAGAUUUUCUUGGCAAAGAUACUGGAGUGGUUUGCCUUCUACUUCUCCCCCAUUUUAUAGAUGAAGAAACAGAGGCAAACUGGAAUAAGUGACUUGUCCAGGGUCACACAGCUAGUUAAUGUUUGAGGCCAGAUUUUAAUUUGGGAAGAUAAGUUGACUCUAGGCCUAGCACUCUAUCCAUUGCACCACCUAGUUCCCCUACCUUAUCUCAUACUACUUUUUAGUUAUGUUACAUCCCAGCCAAACUUGACUAUUCCAAGUAUCCCCUAAUCAUUCUGGCUUCUUCCACACUGCCCUACCAACUAGAAAUGGACCCUCAACAAACCUGCCUCUUGUCUUUUGCUUGAAGUCCAUCCUCCCCUGCCUUCAGGGACCACUUCCAUCAGGAAACUUCAGAGGAACAGCAGGGGUCCCAACAUUCCAUCCCUCCCCCCACUAAAGUGAUUUUUCUCUCCAAAUUCUUCAUAGCAUUUUGCCUGAUCCUCACCCUUGCCUUUAGCUCAUUCUCCCUUGUCUUACUCAUUAUUUAUGAAUGUCUUCCCUCCAUAAUCCUACUCCCAACUCCAAAAAAGCCACAACAUGUCUCUCUUCCUUGCAUCCUAAGCAACUUAACACAAUGCCUUCAUGGCACAUAGUAGGUGUUUAAUAACUGUUCACUGAACUGAGGAGGGCACUAGCCCAGCAGUUGAAGCCAUGGGAGGCCAAGGGGGAGGGAAGAGGGGAGGACAGGCACAGGGUGAGAACCACUAGCAGGGUCAGGCCAAGGCAGGGAGUGAUGACGGGGAACUACAAGGCAAUAACAGAAGGGACUAAGCAAUGGCUGAGAACCUUCUCUGCUUUAAAACAAGUCUGAGACCCCAGCCUGGCUGGGAGCGAGGUGGCCUGGAAGGAGAAAGUUGGCCCCAAUGAUUCUGAACCAUCAGAACAAGGAAACAGCUUCAAAGGCAGUAAAUACACUUUGUCUUUUAUAAAACAUAAACUCCUUGAGGGCAGACUUAUUUUUUGUUGUUUUGAUUUUAAUCCCCAGCACCAAGUCCAAUGCCCAUCACAUAAUAAACAACUAAUACAUGAUUGUUGGUUGAGAGACUGAAUACUAUCUUUUGUUUGGCUGGGGAGCAGUGAGGGUUGGGAAGACUAUGGAUUAAAUGAAGCAGGCUAUAUACAUGAAAUUAUGGUAAGGAUUCAAAGGAGGCCAAUCCAAUCAGGAAGAAGCAAAUCCUCCCAGAGAAACAGGGUGACCUGAUGGGGAGUCAAGGAGGAUUUAAAGGGCCAGUUCACUGGUCAUACCCAGUUCCUAUGCACACAGCUCUCUGGGUCCAAUUCCACAUGCUAAGGAUAAGGCUCCUGCAAUUACUGGCAGGGAUCAGAGAUGGACAGAGGAGGACCCUGCCAGGGUCAACUGUGAGGGCAGUUUGUAUAAGAUUAACAUAAUACUUUUGGGGAAGAGGGUGCCAUGAAUGGAAAGGAGGAGGGAGGAUGGGGAAGGGGAAGGAUAGGAUGGUAUAGCAGACAUAAAUGUAGUCCUCAUUAACCCCAUCUAUUUUCAUCAUACUCCUUUUCUUGGGGACACAGCUCUGAGAUAAGGUCAGACCCCUGUGAUUCCUCCACUACUCUCUGGCCCCACCUCCAGCCACCUCACUGGGCCUUCUCUAGUUCAUUCUGUCUGCCACAGUUUCCCUUCUUCCCCAUGAAGUUGCAACUAGUACAAAGUAUAAACCUCUUGCCUCCACACUUUUGCACAGAGCUGGUCCCUAAUAUCUGCAAUGGAGUCCUUUGUUCCAGAUCUAUUCUUACUCUUUCUGUGGUUAGUGUUAUCUCUUCUUUGAAGCUAUUUUUUAGUACUUUGCAUUUUCUAAUCUGCAUCCAUGUUGCAUUCCCCCCAGUAAGCUUCUUGAGGACAGGGACUAUCUCCUUUUUGUCUUUGUAUCCUCAGCAUCUAGUAUUGUGUCUGCACAGAGUUGGCACUCAUCAAAUGCCUGAAUUGAAAUAAAUAUAGCCAAAGAGCUAUCCAAAGGAGAUGGGGCAGAGGGUAGCUAGUAAUCUUUCUUCUCCUUCCUCUUCUCCACACUCUGAAGCUGACAGGUGGAGAAGACAAAAGUAACCAGCUGGGAAAGAGACACCUGUCCUUUACUGGUCAGCCCCACCCCCUCCUUCAUCAUAAAGGCAGCUGUAAGUCAUAUCAUCUCUUUAUGGGCCUCCACUGUCCCUCACAGCAUAAAGAGCCUGGGGACCAAAAAAGGGGGGGAGGGAGUUAGAGCUCCUUGAAAAGAGGUGCCUAGAAUCUAUCCAAUAACAUCUUUUGGGAUGAAGUGGAAAGAGCCCUGAACUAUCUGUCUGUCAAACUUGGGAUCUGAUUCCAGCUAUGCCACUAAUCAUAUGCCUUAGGCAAGUCAUUUGGUUUCUGUGGGUCUUAGUUCUCUCAUCUAUAAAAUGAGGGGGCUAGACUCAAUUAUUUCUAUGGUUUCUUUCAACUCUGACAUUCUAUAAAUCUAUGAUUUGAUUCUGUGCCCCUUGUUCUCCCUACAUACCAUAGUUCAAGAGGGUUAGAGAGACUAACCCUGGAGUGGUUCUCAAAGCUUUCUGGCCUCAAAAAAAAAGUAUCCUUUUGUCCUCUUAAAAAUUAUUGAGGGCCAGCUGGAUAGCUCAGUAGAUUGACAGCCAGGCCUACAGAUGGGAGAUCCUAGGUUCAAAUCUGGCCUCAGACACUUCCCAGCUGUGUGACCCUGGGCAAGUCACUUAACACCCAUUGCCUAGCCCUUACCUCUUUUCUGCCUUGGAGCCAAUACACAGUAUUGACUCCAAGAUGGAAGGUAACGGUUUAAAAAAAAUUAUUGAGACCCCCCCAAAGAACUGUUGUUUAUAUGGAUCAAAUCUAUUGAUAUUUAUCAUAUUGGAAAAUAAAAUGCUUUAGUAUUAUUAUGAAAGGGUCUCAAAAUACCCCUAGGGGUCUCCAAAGAAGGUGUCAGGAACAGAUGAGUGAGAUUAUUACAUCCGUUCCCAGGUUUUCACAUUAUUCUUUCCAAUCCAAGAGGUAAUCAAGGGAGGGGGUAGAUUUAUCUUCUGGGAAGACUAUCCCAGAAGAUAAAUCCACUCUAGCUUGUCUCCUGACAACUUUCCACAUGGAAAUUAACCUAAAUAUCCCUCCUGUUGGAGCUAUAUUUUGUCUUGAUGCAGACUCUUCUGUCCCUGGAGGACCAGCACAGGUCCCACUGCCUCCUCUAUAAUGUUGGGAGCAGGGCUCCCUAGUCUCUCUUCCCUCUCUUGUUUGACCUCUCCCACGUAUUCCUCUCAUUUUCCAUUGAAUCUUUGUUACUGUAUUUGUGUUUAAGUCUUAAUCUCUUGUUCUAGUGUAAGGUCACUGAAGGAAGGUAUUGUGUUUUAUUCAUCUGUAUCCCAAGUACUUCACACAAUGCCUACAUAACGAAUAAUAGAUGUUUAAUAAAUUGAACUGGAUUGGGUUCUUUGUCCUUCAUAUCAGUGAUGAAAUCUAGGUCUUUCCAAAAACUACAGAUUAUAGAGCUGGAAGGGGUCCUGGGACAUAGAAUAUGUUGGAGUUGGAAGGGAUCUUGGAAAUCAUCUUGUUCAACCCUUUCACUCAUUGAUGAGGACAAUUAAAGCAGCAAACAGAAGAGUAGGAAUCUGGAAAGGAGGCUCAAUGGGGAACUCUGGGGUCUGAAGGAGCCAUGGUUAGAUAGAGAUACCCAAAGGGGAUGUCCCAUCUUUCUUAUCAUCUCAAGUGUCUGGCCUGGGGUCUGGCCUCAAUAUGACCUCAGCAGUGUCUCAGCUGAAGCCCCCUCCCUAGGCCCCAGAUGCUUUCACUCUCCCUCAGCCCAGACUCAGUCCUUCUAGAGACUAGAGAAAUAGAGAUGUCUGGUAGUGACCAACCCAAGCAUCUUAGGUGAUUUUUUGUUUUUACCUUCUGGGCCUCGGUUUCCUCAGCUGUAAAGUGAAGUUGAACAUUAGGAUCACUAAGUUUUUUUCCAGUUCCCAAUGCUCUUGAAACUUGUCCCUUUCCAUCCCCAGCUCAAGGGUGUCUGAAAAGAAGUCAGCUUUCCAUAAGACUUGUUCUAGCCAGCUUAUAAUUCCUUGGAUUCUCAGUUCAGGAAAGCCCAAAUAAUGCCCCCAGAAACUAAGAAGGUCUACACUUCAGCUUUCUAAAUGAAAAGAGGCCAUUGGCUCCAAUCUCAAAACCCUUUGGGGAAGUCCUUCCUUUAGUCUAGCUUCAGCUCUUCCCACUCCUAGCCUGUUCUUCUCUCAUUCAAUUUAGAGUCCUAUACCUGACCCUAAAAAGAACUCCACAGCAGAAUGACCAAUAGUCCAGGAGAGGUCUGUCGUGUCUGUGUGUCCUUUCCCUACCAGAAGACCCCAUUCCUGGCCUGAACAACUAGGUUGGCUAUUUUUCCUAUUCCCUGGGAUUCAGAGGCAGCUUCUUCUGGCCUCCAUAAAAAAAAAAAACACCUCCCUUCUGCUGGCUAAUCCCCCCACUACAACCAAUCUAUAACCAUUCAUUAAGGGUCUCCAAUGUGCCAGGCACCAUGCAAGGUGCUAGGGCUACAAAAAUGAGCCAGUCCUUGCCUGACCUCCUUCCCAGAAGGGGCAGCACAAAGACUGGCACAUGCACAUGUAAGAAUAUAGCCCAAAUACAGCCCAAACUAGAAACUGGGCCUGUGACCUCAAUGGGAUAGAGAGCCCCCAGGAAAUAAAACACUUUCUUGGUAAUGUGCUAUCUUACAGGGUGACUUGAAGCAGCAGUUCUCAAACUUUUGGCCUCAGGGCCUCUUACAGUCUUAAAAAUGAUUGAAGACCCCAAAGAGCUUUUGUUUAUGUGAAUUACAUCUAUUGAUAUUUACUAUAUUAGAAAUCAAAGCUGGUAAAGUUUUAAAAUAUUAAUUUAUUUAAAAUAACAACCCCAUUACAUGUUCAUAAAAUAACAUUUUAGUGAAAAUUAAGAGUGGUACUGUUUUACAUAUUUUUGCUAAUGUCUUUAAUGUAUAACUUAAUAGAAGACAGCUGGAUUCUCCUA